rnacentral:rRNA from 1 species
UUAGUGGAAGCGUCUGGAAAGGCGCGCGAUACAGGGUGACAGCCCCGUACACAAAAGCGCAUGUGUUGUGAGCUCGAUGAGUAGGGCGGGACACGUGGUAUCCUGUCUGAAUAUGGGGGGACCAUCCUCCAAGGCUAAAUACUCCUGACUGACCGAUAGUGAACCAGUACCGUGAGGGAAAGGCGAAAAGAACCCCGGCGAGGGGAGUGAAAAAGAACCUGAAACCGUGUACGUACAAGCAGUGGGAGCCCCACCACCAAAGCAUUCUCUGGUGUUGAAGGCCCUGCAAAGCAGCAUCGCGGUGGCGGAGCGUCGUUUGCGACGCCCAACACACAAAACAAGCGGUGAGUGCUUUGGGGUGGGGUGACUGCGUACCUUUUGUAUAAUGGGUCAGCGACUUAUAUUCUGUAGCAAGGUUAACCGAAUAGGGGAGCCGCAGGGAAACCGAGUCUUAACCGGGCGUUAAGUUGCAGGGUAUAGACCCGAAACCCGGUGAUCUAGCCAUGGGCAGGUUGAAGGUUGGGUAACACUAACUGGAGGACCGAACCGACUAAUGUUGAAAAAUUAGCGGAUGACCUGUGGCUGGGGGUGAAAGGCCAAUCAAACCGGGAGAUAGCUGGUUCUCCCCGAAAGCUAUUUAGGUAGCGCCUCGUGAAYUCAUCUCCGGGGGUAGAGCACUGUUUCGG